rnacentral:lncRNA from 1 species
GUGGUGUGAUGUUGGCGUAACGGGAGAGAAAUUCAAGAGGUAAAAACACUCAAGCUAGAGGGUAGAAUGACUAUUUUGAUGAAAUAUCCAUGACAAUCUAACAAUGUGAAAUUCAGAUGUGGAAAGGGAGGUUAAAUCAUGGAUCCUUCAAAAAUAUAUUAAUAUUAGUCGCCUGUUUGUAAUACAAGAAAAUUUCCUAUAAAAUUGAACUGAGGGCCUGUUUG